UGCUAUAAUGAGCAGGCUAUACAUAACUGUAUGUGAUUAUGAAUGACUUCUUGGAUAAUAUACCUAUAUUCAUUUCAGAUUUCCCUAAGGUGGCUGUGCUUUGAAGAAGCUGGCGGAGGAAACCCUGGGGUGGAGGGAUGGCCCGGCCCGGAAGGCACUGGCAGCACACCAGGGACAGCACCGCUUACUGCCCCCACGUCCCUGCAGAAGGCUCCCCUACCCCUCCCCCUACCCUCCUAUUAUUUUAAAUCAUACAAAAUUGUAAAUGGGAAGAUCAGGCCACUGUUGUUUUUCUGAAAGACACUAGUUACAUUUUCAGAUGCAAGU
rnacentral:lncRNA from 1 species